UCUGUGCGUUUUGUUGAAAAGAUUUUUUUCAAAUGUUUUCUGUUCUUUCGAUGUAGGAAAUAUAUUUUUGUCAUAAUAUUUAGCUAAUAUUCUGUUGCCAUCAUUGUCCAGAAUGGCCAUACCCUUGACGGUAUAAAGUGUUGGUUCCUAUAAAUAUACAAUAUAUAUGUGUGUAAAAAUAUCUUGCUAAAUCAUUACUUAUUAGAAAAUCUUUCUCAUGUAUGCACCCAUAUAGGACUCAAGUACAAUUUCGUUUAAUAAUUACACAUGUUACGCAGUGUUACGCUGAAUUGAAAGAGAAAUCAUACGCGUUGCUGAAAUUCGCGAUCCUGGUCACUCCGAAGCAUUGGAGAGAGGUUAUGCUGUACAACUUUCGAUGAUCCAGCACGAUUCAUGAUUACGAUUGCACGAGACGAUACUUAUAUCAAGAAUAUAUUAACAAGAAGUGCACUUUGCUACCAAAUCUAUAUAAAAAAAUGUAGAAUACUCAUUAAUAAACCUACCGCUAGCUGACCAUCCAUGUUUACGUCAAGCUUGACGUGUCACU
rnacentral:misc_RNA from 1 species